rnacentral:rRNA from 1 species
CGCGGCCUAUCAGCUUGUUGGUGGGGUGAUGGCCUACCAAGGCGACGACGGGUAGCCGGCCUGAGAGGGUGAUCGGCCACAUUGGGACUGAGAUACGGCCCAGACUCCUACGGGAGGCAGCAGUGGGGAAUAUUGCACAAUGGGCGGAAGCCUGAUGCAGCGACGCCGCGUGAGGGAUGACGGCCUUCGGGUUGUAAACCUCUUUCAGCAGGGACGAAGCGUAAGUGACGGUACCUGCAGAAGAAGCACCGGCUAACUAUGUGCCAGCAGCCGCGGUAAUACGUAGGGUGCGAGCGUUGUCCGGAAUUACUGGGCGUAAAGAGCUCGUAGGCGGUUUGUCACGUCGUCUGUGAAAUCCUAGGGCUUAACCCUGGACGUGCAGGCGAUACGGGCUGACUUGGGUACUACAGGGGAGACUGGAAUUUCUGGUGUAGCGGUGGAAUGCACAGAUAUCAGGAAGAACACCGAUGGCGAAGGCAGGUCUCUGGGUAGUAACUGACGCUGAGGAGCGAAAGCAUGGGUAGCGAACAGGAUUAGAUACCCUGGUAGUCCAUGCCGUAAACGGUGGGCGCUAGGUGUGGGGUUCCUUCCACGGGCUCCGCGCCGUAGCUAACGCAUUAAGCGCCCCGCCUGGGGAGUACGG